ACGUAGGUGGCAAGCGUUAUCCGGAAUUAUUGGGCGUAAAGAGGGAGCAGGCGGCGGCAAAGGUCUGUGGUGAAAGACUGAAGCUUAACUUCAGUAAGCCAUAGAAACCGGGCGGCUAGAGUGCAGGAGAGGAUCGUGGAAUUCCAUGUGUAGCGGUGAAAUGCGUAGAUAUAUGGAGGAACACCAGUGGCGAAGGCGACGGUCUGGCCUGUAACUGACGCUCAUUCCCGAAAGCGUGGGGAGCAAAUAG
rnacentral:rRNA from 1 species